GAAGGUGCAAUGUCUGCUGGCA
rnacentral:miRNA from 9 species